rnacentral:rRNA from 1 species
ACCUUUUGUAUAAUGGGUCAGCGACUUAUAUUCUGUAGCAAGGUUAACCGAAUAGGGGAGCCGAAGGGAAACCGAGUCUUAACUGGGCGUUAAGUUGCAGGGUAUAGACCCGAAACCCGGUGAUCUAGCCAUGGGCAGGUUGAAGGUUGGGUAACACUAACUGGAGGACCGAACCGACUAAUGUUGAAAAAUUAGCGGAUGACUUGUGGCUGGGGGUGAAAGGCCAAUCAAACCGGGAGAUAGCUGGUUCUCCCCGAAAGCUAUUUAGGUAGCGCCUCGUGAAUUCAUCUCCGGGGGUAGAGCACUGUUUCGGCAAGGGGGUCAUCCCGACUUACCAACCCGAUGCAAACUGCGAAUACCGGAGAAUGUUAUCACGGGAGACACACGGCGGGUGCUAACGUCCGUCGUGAAGAGGGAAACAACCCAGACCGCCAGCUAAGGUCCCAAAGUCAUGGUUAAGUGGGAAACGAUGUGGGAAGGCCCAGACAGCCAGGAUGUUGGCUUAGAAGCAGCCAUCAUUUAAAGAAAGCGUAAUAGCUCACUGGUCGAGUCGGCCUGCGCGGAAGAUGUAACGGGGCUAAACCAUGCACCGAAGCUGCGGCAGCGACGCUUAUGCGUUGUUGGGUAGGGGAGCGUUCUGUAAGCCUGCGAAGGUGUGCUGUGAGGCAUGCUGGAGGUAUCAGAAGUGCGAAUGCUGACAUAAGUAACGAUAAAGCGGGUGAAAAGCCCGCUCGCCGGAAGACCAAGGGUUCCUGUCCAACGUUAAUCGGGGCAGGGUGAGUCGACCCCUAAGGCGAGGCCGAAAGGCGUAGUCGAUGGGAAACAGGUUAAUAUUCCUGUACUUGGUGUUACUGCGAAGGGGGGACGGAGAAGGCUAUGUUGGCCGGGCGACGGUUGUCCCGGUUUAAGCGUGUAGGCUGGUUUUCCAGGCAAAUCCGGAAAAUCAAGGCUGAGGCGUGAUGACGAGGCACUACGGUGCUGAAGCAACAAAUGCCCUGCUUCCAGGAAAAGCCUCUAAGCAUCAGGUAACAUCAAAUCGUACCCCAAACCGACACAGGUGGUCAGGUAGAGAAUACCAAGGCGCUUGAGAGAACUCGGGUGAAGGAACUAGGCAAAAUGGUGCCGUAACUUCGGGAGAAGGCA